AAGAAAGUAAAUAAGGGCACACGGGGGAUGCCUAGGCUCCCAGAGGCGAUGAAGGACGCGACAAGCUGCGAUAAACCGCGGGGAUCGGCACAUACGAUUAGAUCCGCGGGUUUCCGAAUGGGGCAACCCGGCAUGCUGAAGGCAUGUCAUACCACAUAAGUGGUAGGCGAACGCGCUGAACUGAAACAUCUAAGUAAGCGCAGGAGGAGAAAACAAGAGUGAUUCCGCAAGUAGUGGCGAGCGAACGCGGAGCAGCCCAAACCGUUUAUGUUACGGCAUAUACGGGGUUGUAGGACUGUGAAGUGGUACCGAAGACUGAAGUGGAACCGGGUGGGAAACCGGGCGAUACGGGUGACAGCCCCGUACACGUAUAGGAUUCGGGCCUAACAGUAUCCUGAGUAGCGCGGGACCGGAGAAAUCCUGCGUGAAUCCGGCGGCACCAUCCGCCAAGGCUAAAUACUCCUGGGAGACCGAUAGUGGACCAGUACCGUGAGGGAAAGGUGAAAAGAACCCCGAACAGGGGAGUGAAAAGAACCUGAAACCGUGUGCCUACAAUCGGUCGGAGCGGAACUUGUUCCGUGACGGCGUGCCUUUUGCAUAAUGAGCCUACGAGUUACACUUCACCGGCAAGGUUAACCCGUUCAGCGGGGGAGCCGGAGCGAAAGCGAGUCUGAA
rnacentral:rRNA from 1 species